GAUGAACGCUGGCGGCGUGCUUAACACAUGCAAGUCGAACGAGGUUCAUUUUUACGAUCCCCUUCGGGGGUGACGAGUUUGAACCGAGUGGCGGACGGGUGAGUAACGCGUGGGUAACCUGCCCCAUACAGGGGGAUAACAGUUGGAAACGACUGACAAUACCGCAUAAGCGCACAGGGAGGCAUCUUCCGGUGUGAAAAAUUCCGGUGGUAUGGGAUGGGCCCGCGUCUGAUUAGCUAGUUGGCAGGGUAACGGCCUACCAAGGCGACGAUCAGUAGCCGGCCUGAGAGGGUGUACGGCCACAUUGGGACUGAGACACGGCCCAAACUCC
rnacentral:rRNA from 1 species